rnacentral:lncRNA from 1 species
GACAACCAUGGCUACCAUCUCAACCUAGGACAUAACCCUAGCUUAGGACCUUUUUCUUGAACUAGGAGAACACUAAACUUCACACAAAACACAACCAGCCGCCGCCCUUACUCCACGAACGGAAAACCCCAAGACAACCGCUGCAACAACCCUACUUCUAUCCACCAGCGCACAAACACCACAACUCGCCGAACACCAUCACCAAACCGCCGGAAGCUAACACCUCCAAGGCCAUAAGACCACCCAGCUCCAUGCCAACCACCAGCCGCCCACGUCUCCAUCUCUCACCGGACUCAACUAGUCAACCUAGCUCGCCAGAAACCAACAACCACGCUAGGAACAUGCACACCCAGUCUUAAGCAGAAGGCCAGACAACUUGGUUUAGCGAUCUUCUUCGUUUGGUUUUCAGUUUUGGAACCAUGUAGUCCGAAGGAGUGUGAUUGAGUUUGUUUUGGUUUCACGCUUCUUGGCGCUGAUUCGAGUUUUCGGUUCUAAGAAUUUUUAGAUUCGCAGAGCUGUUGCUCUCGAGGUUCAUUCUCUUCCUACUUCUAUUAGCCGAUAUUUCCAUGAUUGGUGCUGAAAUUGCUUAUCGUUAGUUCUCUGUUGAAAUGGGAGAUGUUUCAGCUUCUUUGCUUUGUGUUAAACUAGUGUACUCAUUUCAUUUGAAUGUUAGGGUAUUUUUUUCAAAGAAAAGAGCAUAGGUUAGAGUAUAUU